ACAGCCCUUGAUUGCAUGCUGAGGUGGCGACCCCUAACCCUACCUACUCGACAUCGUGGGGGACGAGGUUGUUGGCAUUUGGCCUCGUAACGCCGAGAAGGCCGACGUUAACUGUGCCUGUGUUUCUCACGCUGGAGUCAACAUGGUGACCGGAGAUGACUUCGGGCUCAUCAAGCUCUUCGACUUCCCCUGCGCUGAAAAAUUUGCGAAGCACAAGCGUUACUUCGGCCACUCGGCUCACGUGACCAACAUCCGCUUCUCCUGCGAUGAUAAAUACGUGAUCAGCGCCGGCGGCAGCGACUGCAGCCUGUUUGUGUGGAAAUGUCAGUGAGGUCUCUGCAGUCCUUGUUGGGUCCACGAGAGUCUCCUCCUCUUCUCCUCUGAUGCUGCUCCCCCGACUCCUCAGUCUGAACUCUGACCCGAGUUCACCUCUUGCUGUACAGUUAAUGUGAGGACGUGUUUCCCGCUGUUGUGGCGUGUCGCUGUGACCCGUGGACGGCGUGUAGCUGUGUCGUGUAGCCAUGUCUGGUUUGUCGGGAUGUGCCUUUCUCACAAACUCUGACCAAACAUUUGAUACAACUUUAUUUAUAACGGUGGUGCUAUUAGACUGUCGUGGUGUCCUGUCAGAAGAAGAUGAUGAUGAAGAUUAAAAAAAAGGAAAAUGGAUCUGUGUUUGAUCCUAGUCAUUAAAAAGUGAAAAAAGUAGAAAACAGUUUGUAUGGAACUUCAUUUAAAAAGUAAAAGAAUUCUACCUCAAAACAGAACGAAUAGAAAUAAAGAAACUGUAUUUCUUAAGGUAGAAAAUAAAUAUUUACAUCCACAUGG